CCUCUUGGAUUAACCCAACCAACCGUGACCGACCUCCCAUCCGAAGAACAAGCCUUCCAUGCUAGUCUUCCCCUGUUCCACAACGUUCAUCUACGAGUCAUCAUCCCAGCUCACGGCUCUUCACUCCUUCCCAGCCGAAUCAACCAACCUUCUCCGGAUUCCACGUCCACGAACAGAUCCAGCUCCUCCCAGCCGAGAUCCCAACGUCUCUCCCCUGUUUCACGCGUCUUCAUCUCAUCCUCUUCCCCUGUUUCGAAACAAAGGAAACAACCAUCCGUGAUUCAAGGCCCCUUUCGGAUCAACUCUCGGCCAUCCCGCUCCACGGACGAAGCUCACGCAUACCCCCCUGCCUCCAGCUCUUAUCCACGAGUUCCUCCCAACCGGGAACAUCAUCCCGUUCAGAUUGGCCCAAAGCUUCACGGCAUAGAACCAGAUCCCAACUUCUUCCGCUAGAUUACAGUAAGGAUGAGCAUUCCGAACGCCCAGAUUUCUUCCCAGCAUCCUAUGAAUUUGGCUUACAUUUCGUUGUGAUCUAUCUUCAUCCAAGUUCAUCCCAACAUCCACGUUUGAUCCCAGCUACAUCUAUCUUCAUCCCGCAUCCAACCGGAUUCCCAACUUCUUCCCAGUACCCCAACUCUUCCGGAUUUCUUCCCAGCUUGCAGCUUUAUCCUCUGUUUCAGAGCAGAGAAUCAGCCAUCCAGCCGAGAUCUUCUCCGCAUAUUCCCACAGUUGCAGCUUUCCUCCCAACCUUCUCCAAGAUCUUGCUCACAGCAUCAAUCUCCUUCCGCAUCCCCUGCUUCGGAACAGAGUCCGAGUCUUCAUCAAUUCAACCAUCCAGCCGUUCCCAAGCUUCCUUUCUUCCGGAUUGAGUCCAAUAACCACGGAUAGCCCCAAAUCCCAGCGAAGCCAGCACCUACACAGCGUCCGAGUACUCCGCGAUCCGACUCUAUCCGCAAGUAAGCUUCAUCCUUCCGCAUGAUCCUCCCAUUCGGAACAGCCACGAAACAGGGGAGGGGCAGCCUAUAUAAAGAGGAGUUCUUCUCUUCCCGAGGGGCCAUCUCUCACAGGCCAAGUUCCCACGGGAAGAAGACAAUAGGAA
rnacentral:lncRNA from 1 species